rnacentral:rRNA from 1 species
GGGGGGGGGCAAGCGUUGUUCGGGAAUUACUGGGGCGUAAAGGGCGCGCAGGCGCCCGGCCAGUCCUACGUGAAAUCCCACAGCUCAACUGUGGAACUGCGUGGGAUACUGCCAGGCUUGAGUCCCGGGAGAGGAGAGUGGAAUUCCCAGUGUAGCGGUGAAAUGCGUAGAUAUUGGGAGGAACACCGGUGGCGAAGGCGGCUCUCUGGACCGGCACUGACGCUGAGGCGCGAAAGCUAGGGGAGCAAACGGGAUUAGAUACCCCGGUAGUCCUAGCCCUAAACGAUGAGCACUUUGUGUGGCGGGUAUCGACCCCUGCCGUGCAGAAGCUAACGCAUUAAGUGCUCCGCCUGGGGAGUACGGUCGCAAAGGCUG